GGAGAGAUUCCCAUAGCGGCCCAAUGGGGAUCGGAGACACCUCCGAUCAGGGGUUCUGCCCCACGCAGGUUCGAAUCCUGCUCUCUCCGCCA
rnacentral:tRNA from 1 species